rnacentral:tRNA from 1 species
GCCGGGUUGGCUCAGUGGUUAGAGCUUAGGUCUCGUAACCGAAAGGUUGCGGGAUCGAAUCCCGCUAGAGGCU